UACCCGGGCCAUUGAAGGGAAACCUCCAC
rnacentral:piRNA from 1 species